rnacentral:rRNA from 1 species
CGAAUGCUGACGUAAGUAACGAUAAAGGGGGUGAAAAGCCUCCUCGCCGGAAGACCAAGGGUUCCUGUCCAACGUUAAUCGGGGCAGGGUGAGUCGACCCCUAAGGUGAGGCCGAAAGGCGUAAUCGAUGGGAAGCAGGUUAAUAUUCCUGCACGACUUGUAAUUGCGAUGGGGGGACGGAGAAGGCUAGGUGGGCCAGGCGACGGUUGUCCUGGUG